rnacentral:rRNA from 1 species
AUUGAACGCUGGCGGCAUGCUUUACACAUGCAAGUCGAACGGUAACAGGCCUUCGGGUGCUGACGAGUGGCGCACGGGUGAGUAAUGCAUCGGAACGUGCCCAGAGGUGGGGGAUAACGCAGCGAAAGCUGUGCUAAUACCGCAUGUGAUCUGAGGAUGAAAGCGGGGGACCAAGCAGCAAUGUUUGGCCUCGCGCCUCUGGAGCGGCCGAUGUCAGAUUAGGUAGUUGGUGGGGUAAAGGCCUACCAAGCCGACGAUCUGUAGCUGGUCUGAGAGGACGACCAGCCACACUGGGACUGAGACACGGCCCAGACUCCUACGGGAGGCAGCAGUGGGGAAUUUUGGACAAUGGGCGCAAGCCUGAUCCAGCAAUGCCGCGUGCGGGAAGAAGGCCUUCGGGUUGUAAACCGCUUUUGUACGGAACGAAAAGGCUCUGGCUAAUACCUGGGGCCGAUGACGGUACCGUAAGAAUAAGCACCGGCUAACUACGUG